GACGAACGCUGGCGGCGUGCUUAACACAUGCCAGUCGAACGGAAAGGCCCUGCUUUUGUGGGGUGUUCGAGUGGCGAACGGGUGAGUAACACGUGAGUAACCUGCCCUUGACUUUGGGAUAACUUCAGGAAACUGGGGCUAAUACCGGAUAGGAGCUCCUGCUGCAUGGUGGGGGUUGGAAAGCUUCGGCGGUUGGGGAUGGACUCGCGGCUUAUCAGCUUGUUGGUGGGGUAGUGGCUUACCAAGGCUUUGACGGGUAGCCGGCCUGAGAGGGUGACCGGCCACAUUGGGACUGAGAUACGGCCCAGACUCCUACGGGAGGCAGCAGUGGGGAAUAUUGCACAAUGGGCGGAAGCCUGAUGCAGCAACGCCGCGUGCGGGAUGACGGCCUUCGGGUUGUAAACCGCUUUCGCCUGUGACGAAGCGUGAGUGACGGUAAUGGGUAAAGAAGCACCGGCUAACUACGUG
rnacentral:rRNA from 1 species